AGUGAACGCUGGCGGCAGGCCUAACACAUGCAAGUCGAACGGCAGCACAGCAGUAGCAAUACUGUGGGUGGCGAGUGGCGGACGGGUGAGGAAUACAUCGGGAUCUACCCUGUCGUGGGGGAUAACGUAGGGAAACUUACGCUAAUACCGCAUACGACCUGAGGGUGAAAGCGGCGGACCGCAAGGCGUCGCGCGAUUGGAUGAACCGAUGUCCGAUUAGCUAGUUGGCGGGGUAAGAGCCCACCAAGGCGACGAUCGGUAGCUGGUCUGAGUGGACGACCAGCCACACUGGAACUGAGACACGGUCCAGACUCCUACGGGAGACAGCAGUGGGGAAUAUUGGACAAUGGGCGCAAGCCUGAUCCAGCCAUGCCGCGUGGGUGAAGAAGGCCUUCGGGUUGUAAAGCUCUUUUGUCCGGAAAGAAAAGCGCUCGGUUAAUACCCGGGUGUUCUGACGGUACCGGAAGAAUAAGCACCGGCUAACUUCGUGCCAGCCGCCGCGGUAAGAC
rnacentral:rRNA from 1 species